GCUCAGGACGAACGCUGGCGGCGUGCUUAACACAUGCAAGUCGAACGGAAAGGCCCUGCUUUUGUGGGGUGCUCGAGUGGCGAACGGGUGAGUAACACGUGAGUAACCUGCCCUUGACUUUGGGAUAACUUCAGGAAACUGGGGCUAAUACCGGAUAGGAGCUCCUGCUGCAUGGUGGGGGUUGGAAAGUUUCGGCGGUUGGGGAUGGACUCGCGGCUUAUCAGCUUGUUGGUGGGGUAGUGGCUUACCAAGGCUUUGACGGGUAGCCGGCCUGAGAGGGUGACCGGCCACAUUGGGACUGAGAUACGGCCCAGACUCCUACGGGAGGCAGCAGUGGGGAAUAUUGCACAAUGGGCGGAAGCCUGAUGCAGCAACGCCGCGUGCGGGAUGACGGCCUUCGGGUUGUAAACCGCUUUCGCCUGUGACGAAGCGUGAGUGACGGUAAUGGGUAAAGAAGCACCGGCUAACUACGUGCCAGCAGCCGCGGUGAUACGUAGGGUGCGAGCGUUGUCCGGAUUUAUUGGGCGUAAAGGGCUCGUAGGUGGUUGAUCGCGUCGGAAGUGUAAUCUUGGGGCUUAACCCUGAGCGUGCUUUCGAUACGGGUUGACUUGAGGAAGGUAGGGGAGAAUGGAAUUCCUGGUGGAGCGGUGGAAUGCGCAGAUAUCAGGAGGAACACCAGUGGCGAAGGCGGUUCUCUGGGCCUUUCCUGACGCUGAGGAGCGAAAGCGUGGGGAGCGAACAGGCUUAGAUACCCUGGUAGUCCACGCUGUAAACGGUGGGUACUAGGUGUGGGGUCCAUUCCACGGGUUCCGUGCCGUAGCUAACGCUUUAAGUACCCCGCCUGGGGAGUACGGCCGCAAGGCUAAAACUCAAAGGAAUUGACGGGGCCCCGCACAAGCGGCGGAGCAUGCGGAUUAAUUCGAUGCAACGCGUAGAACCUUACCUGGGUUUGACAUGGAUCGGGAGUGCUCAGAGAUGGGUGUGCCUCUUUUGGGGUCGGUUCACAGGUGGUGCAUGGCUGUCGUCAGCUCGUGUCGUGAGAUGUUGGGUUAAGUCCCGCAACGAGCGCAACCCUUGUUCACUGUUGCCAGCACGUUAUGGUGGGGACUCAGUGGAGACCGCCGGGGUCAACUCGGAGGAAGGUGGGGAUGACGUCAAGUCAUCAUGCCCCUUAUGUCCAGGGCUUCACGCAUGCUACAAUGGCUGGUACAGAGAGUGGCGAGCCUGUGAGGGUGAGCGAAUCUCGGAAAGCCGGUCUCAGUUCGGAUUGGGGUCUGCAACUCGACCUCAUGAAGUCGGAGUCGCUAGUAAUCGCAGAUCAGCAACGCUGCGGUGAAUACGUUCCCGGGGCUUGUACACACCGCCCGUCAAGUCAUGAAAGUUGGUAACACCCGAAGCCGAUGGCCUAACCGUUGUGGGGGAGCCGUCGAAGGUG
rnacentral:rRNA from 1 species